GUGUGCUUGUGUGUGAAUGGUGUUCAGCACCAGGGACAGGUGCGUUUGUGUGUGUAUGGUGUUCAGUACCAGGGACAGGUUUGUGUGUGU
rnacentral:pre_miRNA from 1 species